rnacentral:lncRNA from 1 species
CCAGGUACAGUGACGUGGAUAAGUGGAGGCGUAAUCCACUGAUUACGUCUUCGCUUUCCGAAAGCGUAUUUCCCAUUUUACGCUUCUGUCUUAUCCACUCACGGACUUAUUUGUGAUGAAAUUUUUGCAGAAAAGUCCCUGAACUUCAACCCCUCAUAUCUUUUUAUCCGUAACUCCGAAUGAGGUCAAACCAACGGCCACUUCUUCGUUUCAUCGAGCCCUUUCUGUUGGUGUCACUUUCAUUAUGUUUUGGCAUACUGAAAAUGACCAUUUUGCCCCUGCCCUUAAUCAGCCCCCUCCAAGAGAGACAUGUUUUCCGGCGAUUCGUUCCGCGGCUUCACCGCACUUCUUCUCGGUGCCUUCUUCAUCCCCAGGAAAGCCACAAUACCCACUUACAUGAUAGUCAUGCAGUAGCCAUGGUUUUCAACUUGAAUCUUUAUUAAUGUUUGCUUGUUGAAAAAAAUGGUUAUCGUUGUUCCGGUGAUGCUCAAAUUUGCAUGUUCGCUUUUGUGCUAUGUCGUCUUAUACUCUGUGAUCAUGUUAUACCUCCUAGUAUUACCUUUCAUAUGUUUAUGCUUGGUAGUAGUACAUGUUGAUGUUGGAGAUGGUCAUGCUAGUCAGUAUGCGAUGCUUAGUGGACAUGAGUUAUUGUUGGUACGGUGGAAAGUUAUGUCAUACUCUCAUGAUGAUGUUGAUAUCAUGUUCAUGUAUUAUAGUUGGCAUCAUGUUAUUUCAUCAUGGCUCAGCAUAUUUGCAUUCAAG